rnacentral:rRNA from 1 species
AACGAACGCUGGCGGCAGGCCUAACACAUGCAAGUCGAACGCUCGUAGCAAUACGGGAGUGGCAGACGGGUGAGUAACGCGUGGGAACGUACCUUUCGGUUCGGAAUAACCCGGGGAAACUCGGGCUAAUACCGGAUACGUCCGCAAGGAGAAAGAUUUAUCGCCGAAAGAUCGGCCCGCGUCGGAUUAGCUAGUUGGUGAGGUAACGGCCCACCAAGGCGACGAUCCGUAGCUGGUCUGAGAGGAUGAUCAGCCACACUGGGACUGAGACACGGCCCAGACUCCUACGGGAGGCAGCAGUGGGGAAUAUUGGACAAUGGGCGAAAGCCUGAUCCAGCCAUGCCGCGUGAGUGAAGAAGGCCUUAGGGUUGUAAAGCUCUUUCAGCGGGGAAGAUAAUGACGGUACCCGCAGAAGAAGUCCCGGCUAACUACGUGCCAGCAGCCGCCGUAAG